rnacentral:tRNA from 2 species
GUUCUCGUGGUGUAGUGGUUAUCAUACUCUCUUAGGGUGAUCUAACAUCUUGAGCUUUGCCUCCAACGGUCUCUGGUUCGCCAGAGAUCGAGCUUGGGAGUGGCCCCGGGUUCAAAUCCCGGCGAGGACC